rnacentral:rRNA from 1 species
AGAGUUUGAUCCUGGCUCAGAUUGAACGCUGGCGGAACGCUUUACACAUGCAAGUCGAACGGUAACGCGGAGAGAAGCUUGCUUCUCUCCGGCGACGAGUGGCGAACGGGUGAGUAAUACAUCGGAACGUGUCCGCUCGUGGGGGACAACCAGCCGAAAGGUUGGCUAAUACCGCAUGAGUUCUACGGAAGAAAGAGGGGGACCCGCAAGGGCCUCUCGCGAGCGGAGCGGCCGAUGACUGAUUAGCCGGUUGGUGAGGUAACGGCUCACCAAAGCAACGAUCAGUAGCUGGUCUGAGAGGACGACCAGCCACACUGGGACUGAGACACGGCCCAGACUCCUACGGGAGGCAGCAGUGGGGAAUUUUGGACAAUGGGGGAAACCCUGAUCCAGCCAUGCCGCGUGCGGGAUGAAGGCCUUCGGGUUGUAAACCGCUUUUGUCAGAGACGAAAAGGGACGUACGAAUAAUACGUUCCGCUGACGGUAUCUGAAGAAUAAGCACCGGCUAACUACGUGCCAGCAGCCGCGGUAAUACGUAGGGUGCAAGCGUUAUCCGGAAUUAUUGGGCGUAAAGGGCUCGUAGGCGGUUCGUCGCGUCCGGUGUGAAAGUCCAUCGCUUAACGGUGGAUCCGCGCCGGGUACGGGCGGGCUUGAGUGCGGUAGGGGAGACUGGAAUUCCCGGUGUAACGGUGGAAUGUGUAGAUAUCGGGAAGAACACCAAUGGCGAAGGCAGGUCUCUGGGCCGUUACUGACGCUGAGGAGCGAAAGCGUGGGGAGCGAACAGGAUUAGAUACCCUGGUAGUCCACGCCGUAAACGGUGGAUGCUGGAUGUGGGGACCAUUCCACGGUCUCCGUGUCGGAGCCAACGCGUUAAGCAUCCCGCCUGGGGAGUACGGCCGCAAGGCUAAAACUCAAAGAAAUUGACGGGGGCCCGCACAAGCGGCGGAGCAUGCGGAUUAAUUCGAUGCAACGCGAAGAACCUUACCUAGGCUUGACAUGCACUGGACCGAUCCAGAGAUGGGUUUUCCUUUUUGGCUGGUGUGCAGGUGGUGCAUGGUUGUCGUCAGCUCGUGUCGUGAGAUGUUGGGUUAAGUCCC